rnacentral:rRNA from 1 species
UAAGGAAUAUUGCGCAAUGGGCGAAAGCCUGACGCAGCGACGCCGCGUGGGGGAUGAAGGUCUUCGGAUUGUAAACCCCUUUCGGGAGGGAAGAUGGAACGAGCAAUCGUUCGGACGGUACCUCCAGAAGCAGCCACGGCUAACUUCGUGCCAGCAGCCGCGGUAAUACGAAGGUGGCAAGCGUUAUUCGGAUUUACUGGGCGUACAGGGAGCGUAGGCGGUUCGGUAAGCCCUCUGUGAAAUCUCCAGGCUUAACCUGGAACAGUCGGAGGGGACUGCUGGGCUAGAGGACGGGAGAGGAGCGCGGAAUUCCCGGUGUAGCGGUGAAAUGCGUAGAGAUCGGGAGGAAGGCCGGUGGCGAAGGCGGCGCUCUGGAACGUUUCUGACGCUGAGGCUCGAAAGCGUGGGGAGCAAACAGGAUUAGAUACCCUGGUAGUCCACGCCUUAAACUAUGAAUACUAAGUGUCGGCGGUUUACCGCCGGUGCCGCAGCUAACGCAUUAAGUAUUCCGCCUGGGAAGUACGGCCGCAAGGUG